rnacentral:rRNA from 1 species
AUUUUGGGCAAUGGGCGAACGCCUGACCCAGCAACGCCGCGUGAGGGAUGAAGUAUUUCGGUAUGUAAACCUCGAAAGAAUGGGAAGAAUAAAUGACGGUACCAUUUAUAAGCUCCGGCUAACUACGUGCCAGCAGCCGCGGUAAUACGUAGGGAGCAAGCGUUGUUCGGAUUUACUGGGCGUAAAGGGCGCGUAGGCGGCGCGGUAAGUCACUUGUGAAAUCUCUGAGCUUAACUCAGAACGGCCAAGUGAUACUGCGGUGCUAGAGUGCGGAAGAGGCAACCGGAAUUCUUGGUGUAGCGGUGAUAUGCGUAGAUAUCAAGAGGAACACCUGAGGCGAAGGCGGGUUGCUGGGCCGACACUGACGCUGAUGCGCGAAAGCCAGGGGAGCAAACG